UUUCCGUAGGUGAACCUGCGGAAGGAUCAUUACUGAGUGAGAAAACUCUCGAUCCAACCUCCCACCUGCGUAUAUUGUACCUUGUUGCUUCGGUGCGCCCGCCUCACCGCCGCCGCCCGGCCUCUCCCCCCGCGCCCGCCCUCGCCAAACCCACCCUUGAACUUUGAUUGAAGCUCUCAGUCUGCGCGAAAACUUAAUACGAAACAAUUUUCAACAACGGACCUCUUGGUUCCGGCAACGAUGAAGAACGCAGCACAUAGGAAAAGCACACGUCACAAC
rnacentral:misc_RNA from 1 species